GACGAACGCUGGCGGCGUGCUUAACACAUGCAAGUCGAACGGUGAAACUCUUCGGAGGGGAUCAGUGGCGAACGGGUGAGUAACACGUGGGCAACCUGCCCCCGGCUCUGGGAUAACUCCAAGAAAUUGGGCAAACACAGGAAGUACACCGCAUUCCGCAUGGGUGGAGGUGUAAAGGGUUUACGGCGGGGGAUGGGCCCGCGGCCGAUCAGCCUGCUGGUGGGGUAGUGGCCGACCAAGGCGACGACGGGUAGCCGGCCUGAGAGGGUGACCGGCCACACUGGGACUCAGGCACGGCCCAGACUCCUUCGUGAGGCAGCAGUGGGGAAUAUUGCGCAAUGGGCGGAGGCCUGACUCAUCGACUCCGCGUGGUAGAUGACGGCCUUCGGGUUGGAAACUACUUUCAGCAGGGACGACGCGCAAGUGACGGUACCUGCAGAAGAAGCACCGGCCAACUACGU
rnacentral:rRNA from 1 species